CUUUGGCAUGGAAGUACCUUAGGGCCAUAGGAAACAUUUUAUCCAAAGAGACAAGUUAUAGCCAUUUUAAAAAUGGGGUGAUCUAACUUGUCUCUUUAGAUAAAAUGUUUCCUAUGGCCCUAAGGUACUUCCAUGCCAAAG